GCUGCCUCUGAAUGUGGGUCGCGCUGACCCCUCCGCCACCACGGCACGUCCCGUUUGUGUCUUUUAAAAUGUUCACAAAACUAUAUCUGUCAUAAAAUAGUAACUGACACGAAGUCCGUAAAAGUUGAAAAGGUUCAAUAAUUUGACCAAUGAGCUUUGAGCUGCUGGUUAAAGGACCGACAGGUGGCGCUGUUGCUAAUGUUAACAGGAAGAUUUUCUAAACUGAACCCACGGCGCCCCCUGCUAGAGUUUACCAGCUAGAGCUUGGCAAUAAAUUCAGGAGUAGUUUCUUUUUUAAACGAAAAAAUUACUAUUUAAACCAGUUAAAACUUACAAAGAGAUUUGUAUCUCUGUACAACCAAAAUAUCUUGUAUUUUUAAUAAGAAAGGUCAUAACAGUAAAACAGCAACACUUGUGGGGAUUUUCAGACACUGUUAGUGUAACAACUUUAGAAAAUGUGCUUUUAUUUUUAAUUAUAUUGUUUGAAAUUUCAUCAAAUCCUGAUUUACACUGUUUUUGUUAUAUCUUGAGAAUGUCCUAUUAUGUAUUUUGGUAAACACUAAUACCUGUACUGUCACUUUAAGAGCGUCUUAUGAUGUCAGCACUGUACUACCCUCAGUUGGCGCUAGGCUGCCUGAGGAGAGGUAGGAAUUUUCUUUGCUCUUGGUUAAUCUUGUGUUUUAUGAAAAAUAUUUAAAAAUUGUAAAUACAUGCACCUGUGAAUGUUUAUAUGUUUUAAUACAUACAGAGGAGCUUUUUUGGUUCCCUGGUUUAGAGCAGAUAUUGUUAUAAGGUAGUCACAGGGUUUGUCCUUAUGCUAACAGGGGAAAUCCGACUCCUGAAUGGAAGAGCUGCAAGUUAAAGAGCAUUUUUAUUUCUAUUUGUGCCGGCCUCUGCCAGAAACCUGCAACAAAGAUCAACCAGAAACUCUUGUGGUCUGACUCCCUUCUUCAUCUGAACGCAACGCAGAACACAUCAAGGUUAACCGGCCGGAUAAGACUAGGUUAUAGGUAAAGAACAGUAACUGUAUACACCGGUGACAUUAGGAAGAAACAGGACAGUCAGAGAGAGAUCCUUUGAUCUGUGUAUUUUUAUGUCUUGUUAAAACGAGAAGGUUUCUCAUUUGAAGGAGAAACAGCUCCUGAUUUACUCCCAAACUCUGGCAGUUAAAUGUUUCCACAGAUAGACUUUUCCUGUUAAAGCCUUAUAAAUAAGACAGUCAUUUUUAAAUAAUUGGAAAUUCUCAAAAUUUAAAAAAUUGUAAUUGUCUAAAAUUAGGCAAAUAGGACACGACUCUGGGAUCCAAUCAUAUCAAGUUUAUAAACAUAUAAAGCUGAUAAUGGGUUUUAGUGAUGAGAUGCAAACUAAAGACCAUGUUGUGAAAAAGUCUUCAAUGUGUGAUAAACUCAUGCAGCCUCUAUUAACCUGUUUGAAAUAUUGCAGAUUAAAGUUUUCAAUGUACUUUUACAUGUGUUUUUUAAAUGUGAGAUGAGUCCAAAAUUAAAUCAAGUUAUUUAAACUGGGUGACCAGUUAACCCAGUUCCUCUCCAUCCAGAAAUACAAUGCUUAGGCUAGUUAGCAUGGCCAAUUAUGACGAGAGACAAACCGUUUUCCUGGUUUUCAUUAAGCUGCUGAAUUACUUCAUGGUUUUACUUUACAUGACAGCAGCUUGUAAAUAUAUUUAUUAAUUGUUUUUAUUUUGCCGUCUGCAAAGUCGUUACUGUAAACAAGUCAUUGUUUAUCAGGACAAAUUAUGUUGUUUUUGGGGCUAUUUUGUCCUUAUGCUUUAAAAUAUUUUAGUUUAAUUACACUCUUUUUUAUGAUUAAACUUUGCUAAAUAGAAGUUAGCGAUAAUAAGUGGGAUUGAAGCUGUAAUAGCCGUGUAAUAUUAGUGUAUAUGAAUCAUAUCCUAUCAUUUCAGUGACCUGUGCGGUUCAGUGACACAUUGUGGCUGCAUUUAAUAAAGUCUGUCAUACAGCA